UAAGCAUAUCAAUAAGCGGAGGAAAAGAAACUAACAAGGAUUCCCCUAGUAACUGCGAGUGAAGCGGGAAAAGCUCAAAUUUAAAAUCUGGCGGUCUUUGGCCGUCCGAGUUGUAAUCUAGAGAAGUGUUAUCCGCGCUGGACCGUGUACAAGUCUCCUGGAAUGGAGCGUCAUAGAGGGUGAGAAUCCCGUCUUUGACACGGACUACCAGUGCUUUGUGAUACGCUCUCAAAGAGUCGAGUUGUUUGGGAAUGCAGCUCAAAAUGGGUGGUAAAUUCCAUCUAAAGCUAAAUAUUGGCGAGAGACCGAUAGCGAACAAGUACCGUGAGGGAAAGAUGAAAAGAACUUUGGAAAGAGAGUUAAACAGUACGUGAAAUUGCUGAAAGGGAAACGCUUGAAGUCAGUCGCGUUGGCCGGGGAUCAACCUUGCUUUUGCUGGGUGUACUUUCCGGUUGACGGGUCAGCAUCAAUUUUGACCGUUGGAUAAAGUGUAGGGGAAUGUGGCAUCUUCGGAUGUGUUAUAGCCUUUGCUCGUAUACAACGGUUGGGAUUGAGGAACUCAGUACGCCGCAAGGCCGGGAAUUUAUUCCACGUUCGUACUUAGGAUGCUGGCAUAAUGGCUUUAAUCGACCCGUCUUGAAACACGGACCAAGGAGUCUAACAUGCCUGCGAGUGUUUGGGUGGAAAACCCGAGCGCGUAAUGAAAGUGAAAGUUGAGAUCCCUGUCGUGGGGAGCAUCGACGCCCGGACCAGACCUUUUGUGACGGAUCUGCGGUAGAGCAUGUAUGUUGGGACCCGAAAGAUGGUGAACUAUGCCUGAAUAGGGUGAAGCCAGAGGAAACUCUGGUGGAGGCUCGUAGCGAUUCUGACGUGCAAAUCGAUCGUCAAAUUUGGGUAUAGGGGCGAAAGACUAA
rnacentral:rRNA from 1 species